AGUCCGAACUCCAUAGAGCAGGGUGCUGGAUAAUACCCAGUGGAGGCAACUCCAAGGCAAGUGCAACAGAAAUAUACCGCCUUGCAUUUAAUGCAGGGUUAGGGUGGAAAGGUGAGGUAAGGGCUCACCAGCGAUUAGGUGACUAAUCGGCUAUGUAAACCCCAUCCGGAGCAAGACCAAGUAGGGACAAAAGGUGACAGUUGCCUGCUGUCGUCCCAAUGGUAGGUCGCAUGAACCUAUUGGUAACAAUAGGUCAUAGAUAGAUGACCAUCUAAGACAGAACUCGGCUUACAGAUCUACUCGUUGA
rnacentral:RNase_P_RNA from 1 species